UACGGAGGGGGCGAGCGUUAUUCGGAAUUAUUGGGCGUAAAGGGCGCGUAGGCGGCCUGGUAAGUCAAAGGUGAAAUCCCUCGGCUCAACUGAGGAACUGCCUUUGAUACUGCAAGGCUUGAGGCCGGGAGGGGGUAGCGGAAUUCCCAGUGUAGCGGUGAAAUGCGUAGAUAUUGGGAGGAACACCAGUGGCGAAGGCGGCUACCUGGACCGGUGCUGACGCUGAUGCGCGAAAGCGUGGGGAGCAAACAGG
rnacentral:rRNA from 1 species